rnacentral:rRNA from 1 species
CCUACGGGUGGCAGCAGUGGGGGAUAUUGCACAAUGGGGGAAACCCUGAUGCAGCGACGCCGCGUGGGUGAAGGAGUAUUUCGGUAUGUAAAGCUCUAUCGGCAGGGAAGAAAUUGGCGGGUCCCUGACUAAAAACCCCCGGCUAACUACGUGCAAGCAGCCGGGGGAAUAGGUAGGGGGCAAGCGUUAUCCGGUUUCAUUGGGUGAAAAGGGGGCGUAGACGGCCGGGCAAGCCUGGGGUGAAGGCCCGGGGCCCAACCCCGGGACUGCUCUGGAAACUGUCCGGCUGGAGUGCGGGAGGGGUAAGCGGAAUUCCUGGUGUAGCGGUGAAAUGCGUAGAUAUCAGGAGGAACACCAGCGGCGAAGGCGGCCUGCUGGACCGCGACUGACGUUGAGGCUCGAAAGCGUGGGGAGCGAACAGGAUUAGAUACCCGGGUAGUC